rnacentral:rRNA from 1 species
ACGGAAGGCAGCAGUCGGGAAUAUUGCGCAAUGGAGGAAACUCUGACGCAGUGACGCCGCGUAUAGGACGGAGGUCUUCGGAUUGUAAACUAUUGUCGUUAGGGAAGAGAAAGGACAGUACCUAAGGAGGAAGCUCCGGCUAACUACGUGCCAGCAGCCGCGGUAAUACGUAGGGAGCAAGCGUUAUCCGGAUUUAUUGGGUGUAAAGGGUGCGUAGACGGGAAUUUAAGUUAGUUGUGAAAUCCCUCGGCUCAACUGAGGAACUGCAACUAAAACUGGAUUUCUUGAGUGCUGGAGAGGAAAGCGGAAUUCCUAGUGUAGCGGUGAAAUGCGUAGAUAUUAGGAGGAACACCAGUGGCGGAGGCGGCUUUCUGGACAGUAACUGACGUUGAGGCACGAAAGUGUGGGGAGCAAACAGGAUUAGAUACCCUGGUA